UAUGGCGCAAUCGCCUUGAGUUGAUCAUGGCUCAGAACGAACGCUGGCGGCGUGCCUAACACAUGCAAGUCGAACGAGAAAGGGGCUUCGGCCCUGAGUAAAGUGGCGCACGGGUGAGUAACACGUGGGUAACCUGCCUCUAAGAUGGGGAUAACCUGUCGAAAGACGGACUAAUACCGAAUAAGACCACAGUUUCCUUGGAAACAGGGGUCAAAGGUAGCCUCUACUUGUAAGCUACCACUUAGAGAUGGGCCUGCGUACCAUUAGCUAGUUGGUGGGGUAACGGCCUACCAAGGCAAAGAUGGUUAGCUGGUCUGAGAGGAUGAUCAGCCACACUGGAACUGAGACACGGUCCAGACUCCUACGGGAGGCAGCAGUGGGGAAUAUUGCGCAAUGGGCGAAAGCCUGACGCAGCAACGCCGCGUGAGUGAUGAAGGCCUUCGGGUCGUAAAGCUCUGUCGGAGGGAACGAAUGCUCUUGGGGUUAACAGCCUCGAGAAGUGACGGUACCCUCAAAGGAAGCACCGGCUAACUCUGUGCCAGCAGCCGCGGUAAUACAGAGGGUGCGAGCGUUGUUCGGAAUCAUUGGGCGUAAAGGGCGUGUAGGCGGUUUGUUAAGUCAUGUGUGAAAUCCCUCGGCUCAACCGGGGAAGGACGCAUGAAACUGGCAAGCUAGAGUACCAAAGAGGGGGGUGGAUUCCCGGUGUAGCGGUGAAUGCGUAGAUAUCGGGAGGACAUCUGUGGCGAAGGCGCCCCUGGUGGAUCUGACCUGAUCGCGAAGCGUG
rnacentral:rRNA from 1 species